rnacentral:rRNA from 1 species
UACGAAGGGGGCUAGCGUUGCUCGGAAUCACUGGGCGUAAAGGGUGCGUAGGCGGGUCUUUUAAGUCAGGGGUGAAAUCCCGAGGCUCAACCUCGGAACUGCCUUUGAUACUGGGGAUCUCGAGUCCGGAAGAGGUUGGUGGAACUCCGAGUGUAGAGGUGAAAUUCGUAGAUAUUCGGAAGAACACCAGUGGCGAAGGCGGCCAACUGGUCCGGUACUGACGCUGAGGUGCGAAAGCGUGGGGAGCAAACAGG